GACGAACGCUGGCGGCGUGCUUAACACAUGCAAGUCGAACGGAAAGGCCCUGCUUUUGUGGGGUGCUCGAGUGGCGAACGGGUGAGUAACACGUGAGUAACCUACCCUUGACUUUGGGAUAACUUCAGGAAACUGGUGCUAAUACCGGAUAGGAGCUCCUGCUGCAUGGUGGGGGUUGGAACGUUUCGGCGGUUGGGGAUGGACUCGCGGCUUAUCAGCUUGUUGGUGGGGUAGUGGCUUACCAAGGCUUGGACGGGUAGCCGGCCUGAGAGGGUGACCGGCCACAUUGGGACUGAGAUACGGCCCAGACUCCUACGGGAGGCAGCAGUGGGGAAUAUUGCACAAUGGGCGGAAGCCUGAUGCAGCAACGCCGCGUGCGGGAGGACGGCCUUCGGGUUGUAAACCGCUUUCGCCUGUGACGAAGCGUGAGUGACGGUAAUGGGUAAAGAAGCACCGGCUAACUACGU
rnacentral:rRNA from 1 species